GGAUGUGAAGAUGGCUGGCUGUGACACCUAUCGCUAUUGUGCCCUGAUGGCCAGGGCUGAAUUCACUGAUCUGUGUGCUGUAAUCGAGGCUCCUCUUUCAUUGCCUCAUCUAUGUCCCUCCUAAAACUGUGUCCUCCUCAUGUGGGAGAGUGCACUUGGUCAAAGGAGAUUACUUUCUCUGUUAGGGGAGGACUGGUCUUGAGUCAAAGAUAUACAAGCA
rnacentral:snRNA from 1 species